rnacentral:tmRNA from 1 species
GGGGGCGUACAUGGUUUCGACGGGGAUCAUGGAAGCCGGAUAAGCGAGCCGAAGGCCCCGGGCUUCGUUAAAAACGGGAACCUUAAAUUUAACAGGCAAAUCGAAUUUUGCUCUCGCUGCCUAAUUAGGCAGCCGUUCGCCCGAUAGUUCCCACGCUGUCGGAUACGGGCGUCAUCAAUGUGGGGAACCAGCCUGCCUAAGCUUUGCCGCAGGUGGGAUCAAUGAAGCUACCAAACUCCUUACCCUGUUGAUGGGGGAUUGAGAGAGGGAAUUUUAAAGCAUCAACUACGCUCGAAGAAAGUCCCGCUGACAGGUUUUCGGACAGGGGUUCAACUCCCCUCGCCUCCACCA